rnacentral:rRNA from 1 species
ACAAUGGAUGACACAUGUCAUUUAUUUGAAAGGGGCAAUUGCUCCACUACAAGAUGGACCUGCGUUGUAUUAGCUAGUAGGUGAGGUAAUGGCUCACCUAGGCGACGAUACAUAGCCGACCUGAGAGGGUGAUCGGCCACACUGGGACUGAGACACGGCCCAGACUCCUACGGGAGGCAGCAGUAGGGAAUCUUCGGCAAUGGGGGCAACCCUGACCGAGCAACGCCGCGUGAGUGAAGAAGGUUUUCGGAUCGUAAAGCUCUGUUGUAAGUCAAGAACGGGUGUGAGAGUGGAAAGUUCACACUGUGACGGUAGCUUACCAGAAAGGGACGGCUAACUACGUGCCAGCAGCCGCGGUAAUACGUAGGUCCCGAGCGUUGUCCGGAUUUAUUGGGCGUAAAGCGAGCGCAGGCGGUUUGAUAAGUCUGAAGUUAAAGGCUGUGGCUCAACCAUAGUUCGCUUUGGAAACUGUCAAACUUGAGUGCAGAAGGGGAGAGUGGAAUUCCAUGUGUAGCGGUGAAAUGCGUAGAUAUAUGGAGGAACACCGGUGGCGAAAGCGGCUCUCUGGUCUGUAACUGACGCUGAGGCUCGAAAGCGUGGGGAGCGAACAGGAUUAGAUACCCUGGUAGUCCACGCCGUAAACGAUGAGUGCUAGGUGUUGGAUCCUUUCCGGGAUUCAGUGCCGCAGCUAACGCAUUAAGCACUCCGCCUGGGGAGUACGACCGCAAGGUU